rnacentral:ncRNA from 1 species
UGGUUCUGGGGAAGCUCGUCCGCCCAGGGUUAGUCGGGACCUAAGCUGAGGCCGAUAGGCGUAGGCGAUGGACAACAGAUUGAUAUUUCUGUACCAGUCAUUAAUGUUUGAGCGAUGGGGGGACGCAGUAGGAUACGAACGCAUGCUGAUGGAUAUGCAUGUACAAGCAAUUAGGCAGGAAAGUAGGCAAAUCCGCUUUCCGCGUAAGCUGAGUUGUGAUGUGGUGGCACCUAGUGCCGUAGGUUCUGAUUCCACACUGCCAAGAAAAGCCUCUAGUUAGUUAAUGACUGCCCGUACCGCAAUCCGACACAGGUAGAUGAGGAGAGAAUCCUAAGGUGAGCGAGAGAACUCUUGUUAAGGAACUCGGCAAAAUGACCCCGUAACUUCGGGAGAAGGGGUGCUCUAUUAAGGUGAAAGCCUGAGAGAGCCGCAGUGAAUAGGCCCAAGCGACUGUUUACCAAAAACACAGGUCUAUGCAAAAUCGUAAGAUGAAGUAUAUGGGCUGACACCUGCCCGGUGCUGGAAGGUUAAGAGGAGUGCUUAGCGCAAGCGAAGG